UUGUAAGUCGUUCGGAUACCACUACUGUACUCACUGGCCUCAAGCCUGAAACAGAAUAUGUUGUGAAUGUAUUUUCUAUAGUAGAAGGUACUAGUAGUGAACCAUUAAAAGGGACCGAAACAACAUUGGCAAUCCCUUCAGUGAGAAGCUUGAAUGCUUAUGAUGUCACUUCGAGGACGAUGCGUGUGCGGUGGGAACCUGUAAAAGGAGCGACUGGCUACAUGCUAUUAUAUGAACCUGUCAAUGCCACAAUACCAGCAACAGAAAAAGAGAUGCGGGUUGGAGCAUCAGUGACUGAUGUGCAGCUGGUUGACUUGAUUCCAAAUACUGAGUAUACUUUAACAGUUCAUUCAACUUUUGGCGACCUCACUAGCGAUCCACUCACUACUCAGGAAG